rnacentral:rRNA from 1 species
GACUACCGGGGUAUCUAAUCCUGUUUGCUACCCACGCUUUCGCACCUCAGCGUCAGAUGAUGCCCAGCAAGCUGCCUUCGCCAUUGGUAUUCCUCCUGAUAUCAACCCAUGUCACCGGUACACCAGGAAUUCUACUUGCCUCUGCAUCCCUCAAGUCUGCCAGUAUGAAAAGCCGUUUCCGCGUUGAGCGCUGGAGAUUUCACUUCUCACUUAACAGACCGCCUACGUGCUCUUUACGCCCAGUAAAUCCGGACAACGCUCGCUCCCUACGUCUUACCGCGGCUGCUGGCACGUAGUUAGCCGGAGCUUAUUCUCAGGGUACCGUCCUAAGUCUUUCCCUGAAAAAGGAGUUUACGAGCCUAGACCCUUCAUCCUCCACGCGGCGUCGCUGCAUCAGGGUUUCCCCCAUUGUGCAAGAUUCCCCACUGCAGCCGCCCGUAGG